rnacentral:rRNA from 1 species
GACGAACCGUGCGAACGUUGUUCGGAUUCACUGGGCAUAAAGGUCGCGUAGGCGGACGGUCAAGUCGGGGGUGAAAUCUUUCAGCUUAACUGGAAAAGUGCCUCCGAUACUGACUGUCUCGAGGGAGGUAGGGGCAUGUGGAACUUCCGGUGGAGCGGUGAAAUGCGUAGAUAUCGGAAGGAACGCCGGUGGCGAAAGCGACGUGCUGGACCUCUUCUGACGCUGAGGCGCGAAAGCUAGGGGAGCAAACGGG